rnacentral:rRNA from 1 species
UACGUAGGGGGCUAGCGUUGUCCGGAUUUAUUGGGCGUAAAGAGCGUGUAGGCGGCCAGGUAGGUCUGCUGUGAAACUCGAGGCUUAAGCCUCGAGAUGUCGGCGGAAACCAUCUGGCGAGAGUCCGGAAGAGGAGAGUGGAAUUCCGGGUGUAGCGGGUGGAAUGCGGUAGAGAUCCGGGAGGAAGACCGGUGGCGAAGGCGGCC